GCUUACCUUCGGGGCGGGGCGUAAUUCCCCACCGGCGGUGAUCGGCAGGAGACCAUCCGGUCUCCCAGCCGUCAGUCCGUGACCCGUCAUUGCAAAGCCGCAAGCCGGCAUUGCAAUGCGGUGGACCUGGUGCGAAUCCGGGACCGACAGUUACAGUCUGGAUGGGAGAAGGAAGCG
rnacentral:ncRNA from 2 species